rfam:Myotis brandtii contig313549, whole genome shotgun sequence.
GGGCUGCUCGCUUGGGCAGCUCAUGCACUAAAAUUGGAACGAGAAAUACGGAGAUUAGCAUGGCCCCUGCGCAAGGGUGUCGUGCAGACGCAUGAAGUGUUUCCUAUUUAA